CAGGUCUUGCGAGGGUCACACUAGCCUACACUAACUAGUAUGACUAACAUAAACCAGCUGACUGCAGCUGCCUUUGACCCUUUAACCCCUGAGUCAGGUCUUGCGAGGGUCACACUAGCCUACACUAACUAGUAUGACUAACAUAAACCAGCUGACUGCAGCAUCUCAUUGCCUCAGCUGUGCCUCUGCUUUGGCCUUCACUUUCGAGGCAAAAGAGUCCAAGGUUUCUAAACUGUGG